AACGAACGCUGGCGGCAUGCCUAACACAUGCCAGUCGAACGAGACCUUCGGGUCUAGUGGCGCACGGGUGCGUAACGCGUGGGAACCUGCCCUUAGGUUCGGAAUAACUCCCCGAAAGGGGUGCUAAUACCGGAUAAUGUCUUCGGACCAAAGAUUUAUCGCCUUUGGAUGGGCCCGCGUUGGAUUAGCUAGUUGGUAGGGUAAAAGCCUAUCAAGGCGACGAUCCAUAGCUGGUCUGAGAGGAUGAUCAGCCACACUGGGACUGAGACACGGCCCAGACUCCUACGGGAGGCAGCAGUGGGGAAUAUUGGACAAUGGGCGAAAGCCUGAUCCAGCAAUGCCGCGUGAGUGAUGAAGGCCUUAGGGUUGUAAAGCUCUUUUACCCGGGAUGAUAAUGACAGUACCGGGAGAAUAAGCUCCGGCUAACUCCGUG
rnacentral:rRNA from 1 species